rnacentral:rRNA from 1 species
UACAGAGGUCCCAAGCGUUGUUCGGAUUCACUGGGCGUAAAGGGUGCGUAGGCGGUCGGGUAAGUCUGAUGUGAAAUCUCACAGCUUAACUGUGAAACUGCAUUGGAUACUAUCCGGCUCGAGGAAUGGAGGGGAGACUGGAAUACUUGGUGUAGCAGUGAAAUGCGUAGAUAUUAAGUGGAACACCAGUGGCGAAGGCGAGUCUCUGGACAUUUCCUGACGCUGAGGCACGAAAGCCAGGGGAGCAAACGGG